UCCGGGGUCGAUCCAGGCGCGCUCUACGGUCGAUUUGGAGGCGAUCGGUGUAUGUACCUCGCCGCCGGCGGACCCCUAUGGACCCUCCAAAAUCGAGUGGUCCCAGGGGGGCCGUUUUCUAGAAAUGGACCCUCUGGCCAAACGGACCCUCUGGCAGGACGGACCCUCUGGGCCAUUUUCACAAAAUGGACCCUCUGGCCGAGGGGCCACGGCCCCCCUAGGGGGGCCAUUCGGGGCCGAAAAAAAAAAGUGCUCCAAAUCGCUCCGGGGUCGAUCCAGGCGCGCUCUACGGUCGAUUUGGAGGCGAUCGGUGUAUGUACCUCGCCGCCGGCGGACCCCUAUGGACCCUCCAAAAUCGAGUGGUCCCAGGGGGGCCGUUUUCUAGAAAUGGACCCUCUGGCCAAACGGACCCUCUGGCAGGACGGACCCUCUGGGCCAUUUUCACAAAAUGGACCCUCUGGCCGAGGGGCCACGGCCCCCCUAGGGGGGCCAUUCGGGGCCGAAAAAAAAAAGUGCUCCAAAUCGCUCCGGGGUCGAUCCAGGCGCGCUCUACGGUCGAUUUGGAGGCGAUCGGUGUAUGUACCUCGCCGCCGGCGGACCCCUAUGGACCCUCCAAAAUCGAGUGGUCCC
rnacentral:misc_RNA from 1 species